CAGAAGCAGGGGAUAACACUUGGAAACAGGUGCUAAUACCGUAUAACAACAAAAACCGCAUGGUUUUUGUUUGAAAGGUGGCUUCGGCUAUCACUUCUGGAUGGUUCCGCGGCGCAUUAGCUUGUUGGUGGGGUAACGGCUCACCAAGGCGAUGAUGCGUAGCCGACCUGAGAGGGUAAUCGGCCACAUUGGGACUGAGACACGGCCCAGACUCCUACGGGAGGCAGCAGUAGGGAAUCUUCCACAAUGGACGCAAGUCUGAUGGAGCAAUGCCGCGUGAGUGAAGAAGGGUUUCGGCUCGUAAAACUCUGUUGUUGAAGAAGAACGGGUGUCAGAGUAACUGUUGACAUCGUGACGGUAUUCAACCAGAAAGCCACGGCUAACUACGUGCCAGCAGCCGCGGUAAUACGUAGGUGGCAAGCGUUGUCCGGAUUUAUUGGGCGUAAAGCGAGCGCAGGCGGUUUCUUAAGUCUGAUGUGAAAGCCUUCG
rnacentral:rRNA from 1 species